rnacentral:rRNA from 1 species
UGGGGAAUAUUGGACAAUGGGCGCAAGCCUGAUCCAGCCAUGCCGCGUGAGUGAUGAAGGCCCUAGGGUUGUAAAGCUCUUUCACCGGUGAAGAUAAUGACGGUAACCGGAGAAGAAGCCCCGGCUAACUUCGUGCCAGCAGCCGCGGUAAUACGAAGGGGGCUAGCGUUGUUCGGAUUUAGUGGGCGUAAAGCGCACGUAGGCGGACUAUUAAGUCAGGGGUGAAAUCCCGGGGCUCAACCCCGGAACUGCCUUUGAUACUGGUAGUCUUGAGUUCGAGAGAGGUGAGUGGAAUUCCGAGUGUAGAGGUGAAAUUCGUAGAUAUUCGGAGGAACACCAGUGGCGAAGGCGGCUCACUGGCUCGAUACUGACGCUGAGGUGCGAAAGCGUGGGGAGCAAACAGG